rnacentral:rRNA from 1 species
UGGGGAAUAUUGGGCAAUGGGCGCAAGCCUGACCCAGCCAUGCCGCGUGAGUGAUGAAGGCCUUCGGGUCGUAAAGCUCUGUGGGGAGGGACGAAACAGCACGUGGCUAAUAUCCACGGGCCUUGACGGUACCUCCUUAGCAAGCACCGGCUAACUCCGUGCCAGCAGCCGCGGUAAUACGGAGGGUGCAAACGUUGCUCGGAAUCAUUGGGCGUAAAGCGCACGUAGGCGGCCUGUUAAGUCGGAUGUGAAAUCCCUCGGCUCAACCGAGGAAGUGCAUUCGAAACUGGCAGGCUUGAAUAUGGAAGAGGGUCGCGGAAUUCCCGGUGUAGAGGUGAAAUUCGUAGAUAUCGGGAGGAACACCAGUGGCGAAGGCGGCGACCUGGGCCAAUAUUGACGCUGAGGUGCGAAAGCGUGGGGAGCAAACAGGAUUAGAUACCCCCGUAGUCC